UCGAGCGACUGAUUAGAAGCUUGCUUCUAUGACGUUAGCGGCGGACGGGUGAGUAACACGUGGGCAACCUGCCUGUAAGACUGGGAUAACUCCGGGAAACCGGAGCUAAUACCGGAUAACAUUUUUUCUUGCAUAAGAGAAAAUUGAAAGAUGGUUUCGGCUAUCACUUACAGAUGGGCCCGCGGUGCAUUAGCUAGUUGGUGAGGUAACGGCUCACCAAGGCAACGAUGCAUAGCCGACCUGAGAGGGUGAUCGGCCACACUGGGACUGAGACACGGCCCAGACUCCUACGGGAGGCAGCAGGGAAAA
rnacentral:rRNA from 1 species